UCAAAGAGAAAUUAAAAUGGCGUUAAGCUUGCGACUAAAGUGUAUGACUGUAUGACCAGAUCCUGUCAUGAAUUUCCGGAAAAAGCUCCCGGAAAUGUCCUGGAAAAUGACUCCUUAAAUAGAGUGGGAACCCUGAUAUGGAGGCUGUGUGGCAGAAGCUUCAAGGGAAAAAAAAUAUCAAUCGUUGUCGACGAAACUACCGGUGCAAGAGACUGCAGCGUUCUGAACAUCGUCAUUGGUAAAUGUUUUGCCAAAACAGUAAAUGUUCUGCUGAACCCAGGACAUGAAGUCAUUAAAUGGGAGAGCAAGUGGGUUACAAAGGGCAGCCAUCCAUAGCAGCACCCAGAGAGGAAGGGGUUAAGGGCCUUGAUCAAGGCCAGGCUCAAACCUGCGACCUUACAAUCACAGGCACAGAGGCUUAGCACCACACUCUGCUGUACAUAUACCUGUAAAGUCUAGCUCCCGUACCUGACCCACCUGUCCUGCCUCUCCUGUUCGCCCCUCCUUGUGUUCCCCGGUCUUGUGUCUCUCCGUCGGGCGGAACCCUCUGGUAUCGACCUCGGCUUACGGACAAUGACCACGAUUACUGCGCGCCGCUUCUGUUCCUACCUCUCAGCUUACCGAGUCGGUGACAUCACCCCUGCCCGUCGCUCUCUUUCCGCUUACCUGGGCUGAAGAACGUGUGAUCACACUCUGUGCCGUAUUGAACAUUUCCUGUAUUCCUUCCCAAACCGACUCAUUAAAGCUCUGUACUCCCUGCACUCCUGGAUCCCUGCUUCUCUUCCUAGCCAUACGUAACAGCUGUGAUGCCGUAUCAAAUGUUUUUUAGUAAAUUAGAUGUGUUUUUCACUGUUGAAAGCGUUUUGCUGCUGGCACAAAGUUUACAACGAACGACAAUGUUGUUUUCAUCUUUACCUGACACAAAGUCGAAAUAAUGACUGUACUUCCAGCACUGCCCCCCCCCUGAUAAAUUUGCAUAUGCAUGAUAUGCUUCUAUGCUCAAAUAUGCGUUACAACAAAUGCACUGUCAGCAAGGUGUUCUCGAAUCACACGCGGGGGGAAGGGGGGGGCACAGAAAGCAGCAGCUCAGCGCGCCUCUGGUUAUCGUCAACAAACGCCGGUCGCGAGCGGAGUUAAGGAAGAGGACUACCGGUGAGUGAGUAAGUCAUUAUUUCUAAAAAAGAAGAGUUGAAAUUAUUUGUUCUGUAAACUUUACCGGCUGGACUGACGUGUUUUUUUUAGUGCCGAAUUUAAUUACCUCGGUACUAUACGCUAUUUAACUUGCUUUCUGGCAUGUAGAUUUGUUUGCAAAAAAGCACAGCAACAGGCGAAUAAAACUGUAUUGAGUGUGUAUAGCAUGUACUUGAUUACUGUAUUUCAGUUUGUUUGCCAGUGGGCCAUAAUAAAAUAUACAAAUGUA